rnacentral:lncRNA from 1 species
AUGUCCUCCUCCGCGUCUGGCUGGAAGGCCGUUGUCUUGAUGCUCUCGGUGUAUGUGGGAUGUCACGGUCUGAGAACCAUCACAGCUGAACCUGGAGACACAGUCACUCUGCCAUGUCGAGCUCCCAGCAGCUCAAAGACCAGAGGUGUAAAGUGGACCAGACCUGAUCUGGAUCCAGACUAUGUCAUUUUGUACCGGGACAAUCAGUCUGAUCCAGAAUACCAGCAUCCAUCUUUUAAGGAGCGGGUGGAGCUGAAGGACUCACAGAUGAAGGAUGGAGACGUGUCUGUGACUCUGAAGGAUGUGACGUUUAAUGACACUGGGACAUACGAGUGUCGUGUCUUCCAGAGUCAGUCAAAACGCUGGAAGAGAGCACCUGAUCCCAUCAGCACCAUCCACCUGAGAGUCUCAGCAGGUCACAGAGAGGAUGGAGGAGACAAGGGUGGAGGAGAAAAUCAUGGACAUGUUGGACUGGCUGUGGGUCUGACAGUUGUUGGUAUUUUGCUUCUUGUUGCUGCUGUUGUUGGUUUGAUGUUCUAUAGAAAACGAUGCAGACCCACAGACCAGAAUCCAAACCCACGUCCUGAACAAAUACCAAUGAACCAGAUGGAAACUGGGACAGACCAGUUGGGUUCUGGUCCUGCUGCUGUCAGGGACCAGUCCAUCGCAGCCCAGAGACUUGAGACCAACAGUGAUUGA